GUCCACGCCGUAAACGAUGAAGACUAGCCGUUUGUUCACUGAGGUGAGUGGGUGGCGAAGCUAACGCGAGAAGUCUUCCGCCUGGGGAGUACGACCGCAAGGUUAAAACUCAAAGGAAUUGACGGGGCCCGCACAAGCGGUGGAGUAUGUGGUUUAAUUCGAUGCAACGCGAAGAACCUUACCUACUUUUGACAUACAGAGGAUUCUGCAGAGAUGCGGAAGUGCCUUCGGGAACUCUGAUACAGGUGCUGCAUGGCUGUCGU
rnacentral:rRNA from 1 species